rnacentral:rRNA from 1 species
GCAAUGGGCGAAAGCCUGACGCAGCAACGCCGCGUGACCGAUGAAGCUUCUAGGAGUGUAAAGGUCUGUCGUGAGGGAAGAAAAAUCCGGAUGUAAAUAAUGUUCGGACGUGACGGUACCUCACAAGAAAGCACCGGCUAACUUAGUGCCAGCAGCCGCGGUAAUACUAGGGGUGCUAGCGUUGUCCGGAAUCACUGGGCGUAAAGGGUCCGUAGGCGUUUUGCUAAGUUGAUUGUUAAAUCCAUCGGCUCAACCGAUGAUCUGCAAUCAAAACUGGUAGAAUAGAGUUCGAGAGAGGAAAGUGGAAUUCCUGGUGUAGCGGUGACAUGCGUAGAUAUCAGGAGGAACACCAAUGGCGAAGGCAGCUUUCUGGCUCGAUACUGACGCUGAGGGACGAAAGCGUGGGGAGCGAACAGGAUUAGAUACCCUGGUAGUCCACGCCGUAAACGAUGAGUACUUGAUGAUGGAGGAUUCGACCCCUUCGUUGUCGUAGCUAACGCGAUAAGUACUCCGCCUGGGGACUACGACCGCAAGGUUG